rnacentral:rRNA from 1 species
UACGUAGGCAGCGAACGUUAAUCGGAAUCACUGGGCGUAAAGCGCGCGUAGGCGGUUUGUUAAGUGGGAUGUGAAAUCCCCGGGCUUAACCUGGGAAUUGCAUUUCAAACUGGCCGACUAGAGUACGGUAGAGGGAGGUAGAAUUUCCUGUGUAGCGGUGAAAUGCGUAGAUAUAGGAAGGAAUACCAGUGGCGAAGGCGGCCUCCUGGAUCGAUACUGACGCUGAGGCGCGAAAGCGUGGGGAGCAAACAGG